UUGUUUGAGCUGCACAUAUACCGAAAUCAGAAUGAUUCAGAGAAGACUAGCAUGGCCCUCUGCAAAGAUGAUACACUGACUUGGGAAGUGUUGUACAUUAAA
rnacentral:snRNA from 1 species